CCUCAUGGUUCCUCUGUGUGGUUCUUAACAUUUCAUCAUACCAGCACGUGUGGGUAAUCUGUUCAAACCUGUGUGUAUUUUUAGUAUUUCGAGUCGCUGCUGUGAAAUAUGCAGUUUUGCUGAAAUGCAGUAUUAUGGUGGUUUUUGAAGGGAACAGAACUUUAUUUUUCUAAAGGGAAAUUUUGUGAAAGAGGAAGUAUUUUUUUAAAUAAUAAGAAUAAUAAUUUCAUCAAAAAACAAAUUUAUAUAUCCUUAAGGAAAUACCAGUCACUUGCAAGGCAGCAACAAAACAGUAACAGUUAGGUUAGUUUACGUUAGGCUUUGAUUCUGUUUUGUCCACAAACAAGAAUGUAGUAAAUGUGAAGGGUAUCUAUAAAUGACAAGACCAAUCACAAUUCAGUAUGCAAAUACAACAAUUGAAUGUUUGAGGAAUAUCAGUACAUUGCUGCCUUACAAGUGAUUUUGCAGGACUGGGCAGAUCAGUCAGUUGAUAUUUGUACUUCUCUGCCUGUACUUGUGCUCCUACACACACAAACAUACACAUUCCCAACAGGAAUGCGUACUGAACCACUGGGGAUAAAAACUAGUUCACCUCUUUCAUUCACACAAACAUGCUUAAACCCAACUAAGUUUGGUAACUUGUGUGCAGUUGUGAUGUUUUUUAUAUGAAUACAUAAAGUUUCUAUUAUGAAAUGUAAUAAUAUAAGGGAUUACUGUCUGUUAACUUUACAGCAUGUAAAACCUACUGAUGUGUUAUUUGAAACAUUUAAAUUGUGCUUUCCGGGCUUGGAAAUUAUCAGGUUCUAGAAAUUAUUAUUAUUAUUAAUAAUCAGUGCCUAAUUCUAUUGCUAAUAUAGCGUCUGCUAAAUAAAUAAAUAUAAAUUCAGUAAAUAGUUCUUUGUGUGUGUAAUUUAACAUUUUAUGCAGUAGAUAAAUAUGUGUAGAAAUGAUUUUACAUUGUGCGCUUUAUCAUUUUGGCCUGAAGGUGGCAGUAUAUAUACGCAUAUAAAUAUGGCAGUAUAGGUUAGUCUUGGCACCGUUUUAAAUUUUGAGCUUGAACUUUUUCACUGAACGUCAAGAUGGUAAGAACUUUAUAUACACCCGUGAUAUAUGAUUGUAUGUUUUAACAGACUAAAACACACUUCUAGUACAAUGCAAUGCUAAAGUUUUUUAAAAAAGUCACAAAGCAAAAGUGGAAUAUAUAUAUAUAUAUGAUGCAAUACAUUCGUGCUAUCCUGUGUAUAAAUGUAGAAAUCCCCUGACGUCUUUCCUGUCACACCUCCCUGUGGAUUUGAUUACCAAACCCCCUUUAGAUUUUGACGUGAUGAGAGGUCAGUGAUCUGCAGCUCUUCGUAAUUGUGCAGUCAGGUUGUCUGCUGAGUGAAAGUAUGAUAAAUCUGAAGUGGAGGAGCGGUGGGCUUCUCUGGUUUCCAAACUGAGGCUCCACACCGCUGACUCCACAUGAUCUACCUCACCACAGUCUGCCGUCUCCCCCACACCCUCUGUUUAUCUCCCUCUCUCAUUUCUCUCUCUUUUAAUCUAUGUAUUUCUGCUGUCUCCCCUUUCCAUGCACUCCCAGCCCCCAUAUUCAGACACAUUCUGUUUAAUUUCAUCUUUAUUCAGAUGCAUAGGCACACACACAUGUCUGAUUCACAACCCCUUGAACCGUUUGUGGUUGGCUAAGCCAGAUAACGCUCGCACCCACACGCCACCCAGGGAUGAAAUGCAUCCACGCUCCUAACAAACAGUUGGACCCUUCUCUCAGCGGACACAUCUGGGGCUUGUUGGACACAGAUGUUCGUGCAGGCCCACGCCCCACUUCAGGGGUUACAGCCACAUGCUGAACAGCUUGUGUCAUAUAAGGUAAUGUGAACCUUGUUUGCAAGCAAUAACUUAAAGGGAUAGUUCAUCCAGAAAUAAAAAUGAGAUAGCUACCUACCCUCAUGUCAUUUCAAAACAGUGAGAAUUUUUCAUCUGUGGAACAUAAAAGAAGAUAUUUUGAGAAAUGUCUUGAUGUUUUCUGUUGUCUAUUCAUUCAAAGUUAAGGCGAUAGUUCACCCAAAAAUGAAAAUUCUGUCAUUAAAUACCCUCAUGUUGUUCCAAACCCAUAAGACCUUCAUUCAUCUUGGGAACACAAAUUAAGAUAUUUUCACAAUGGUCAUAUUUAUGCCAGUACUGUCACCAAGGUUGCAUCCAAAUACCCUACUUUUCUACGGAAGAGGAGUUGUGACCAGGUAACAGAAAUACUCUAUGUUGUAAAAACAUUUUGCUAACGUUUUUAUUAAGUCAUGAAAAUGUUAAUCUAGUUUUAUAGGUUUUUUAAGUUAUUCCUGGUUAUUCAAAUGUUACGGAACUUUCCAUUUCGGCAUUUUGCAAACAAUAUGGGAACAUUAUGUUUGUUUGUGCUCUGAAUAGUAACAUUUAAAAAAAAUUAAAAAUACCGAAAGUUAAACUAAACCGUGUCAGAAUAAACCUUCCAUGAACAAUGUAGAAAUACAUUUGUGCUAAAAUUUCUGUGCUAAAUCUAUUUAUUAUAUUAAUAUAUUUGUGUUAAAACAUUAUUUAAGGCCUCUAUGAAAGGGAUCAUAUGAUGCAAUUUCAGAGAAAGUUUUCCUUUCUCUUUGGAGUGUUACAAGCUGUUCGUGCAUAGAUGAGAUCCCUAAAGUUGCAAAGACAAAGUCUUCAAACAAAAAAAGUUGAGACUCGUCCGCACCCUCCUAAAACACC
rnacentral:lncRNA from 12 species